GGGGGGCGUGGCGUGGUGCCGCGGAGGGAGAUGGCGGCGGGCCGGGAGUGGUGGAGGAGCUUGGGAUGGGGGCGCUGGUCGUGCCGCGGGGUCUUCUACCCGGGGCCGUGAGGGAAGACCUGUGUGCCUCUCGGCACUAGUGGAGUGUGGCAGCGAGGCGGGAACGGCCGCCUUUGGGGGGGGCGGGUCCCUGCGAGGCUUGUGCCUGCUGCGGAGUCGGGGAGACCCGCGGGGCCCCGGGCGCUGGAGCAGGUUCGCCCCGCCUGCGGGCGUGGGGCUGUGUCCUGCCUCCCUUUACAUACGCGCUGCCCCGGGGGCUACACGGGCGCGUUCCCUGGGAGUCUGCCCGGCGGCGUGUGGUUCCCCUGCAGCUGCGGAGCGGGUGGGAAGGUGCAGCCUCCGCCGGGGCAUGCAGGGGCUGGCAGCAGGGGGCUGAGCCUGCCGUGGUUUCCUCUAGCGCCAGUUAACAGAGUUCAGCUGUCGGCCCUGGGGGAGUAAUGACCUCCUCCUGACCCGCCGGGAACCGGUGCGCAGGAAUGGGCGAUUCUACACGUGGCUUUGAAGCAGGGAACUGGCGUGUGAAAGGGAACCUGGAUCCUGCUCUCCAUAUGCCGCAGGCAUCGGCUGUGGGGAGCUCCAUGUCUCCGGCAGUGAAGUUCAGUUUCACAUCUCAAUGACCUCAACUCUUUCUGUCUUUUAAACCCACAUGUUUUCUUGAGAAGUCUUAUCCUGUUUAAUACUGAAGUUGAUUAGAAACUCUUUAAUCUC